rnacentral:lncRNA from 10 species
GUUCGGAGCAGAUAUGCUCUGACUCAUAUUUUAAAAUCUCUCUUUGGUUGCUGUGUAAACAACAGACUGGAGAGAGGCCAAGAGCACAAGCAGAAAAACCAGCCAGGGUGCUAUUUCAGCAGUCUAGGUGGAGAGUCAUGGUGACUUGGACCCAUCCAACAGAGACGAAGACAACUAAAUGGAUUCAGGAUAUAUUCUAGAGAUAAUACAGAAAAUCACCUCUAUUUCAUAAUGAGACUACUGAGACAAGUUAUGUGGAAAACUAUUCUGCUUAGCAAACCCCACUUUGAUGCUCUCUCUUCUGUAGAUCUAGAGAUAACGAGUCCUAACUCUUUGCCAAGGAUAUGGCAAAGACUCUGAUGGAAAAGGCAGUAAUGUGUACACAAAGGUGAACAUAAAUAAAUGUGUGUAUGAUAAACGCUGGGAAUGGACAUAGAAAAACGGGUAUGCAAUUGGACAGAGACGACGGGAGACAGAAGGAAAGAUACUUGCUCAGCUGUAUCUAAGUAAGUUCAUAGGAGUUUCAUGGUCUGAAAAAUCUGUGACAGUGGAAUUUCUACUAAGAAGCUUAAAAAAGUUUCACCUUCUCCUUGGACACUUCAGAAUAAGGCCUUCUUAGAAUAUAAUGCAUUAUAUCACAAAUAUACUUUUAUAUAAAAUAUUUGGGACCAAAACAAGAGUAAAGAACCAGGAUCCGAAAGGGUGAAUGCCUACUAAAUAUCUUUGAUUAUCUAAAGCUGUUUAAAAGCUAUUAGAUUGGCACCUGGAACCCCAAAAUAUCCACUUUUCACUGGGAAGGAGUGGCUGUGCCUCUUCAAUCAUCCCCUAAAUGCAAAGAAGUUUGACCCCCACGCAAUGGAUAAAAGUCACCCAAAAAAUGAACAAAAGAGGUGUUUGGAAAAACCAGAACACCAUUCAUCCCAGCUAACGACUUGUUCAUUAUGAGUGAUGAUGGAUAAAGACUUCUCAUGCUGAGAUGAAAUCAAGAUUUAUAUGCAUUGUUUCCUCUCCCAACUUGUGGGAAGAUCAUCAUCAUUUAAUUCUAUCUCUGCGGCCAGUGAUGGGCAUCCAGAGAGCUGGUUAUCAAACGGCGCAGUCAGCUGGCAAAAGCCGAAACGUGCAGUUGGCACAUCUGGACGGAGCCGCCACAGCCGAGGGUGAACAAUGACUCCUGGCAAGCAUCCAAAUUGCUUGCAGACGCUAGCAGGUCUCAUCUACAACCGCCCCUACCAGCAUCUCUCUCUCUCUCUCUUUUUUAUGAGAAUCAGAUUUUCAUUGCUCCAUUCAAUUGCUCUCCUCUGCCAUUUUUUACAGCUCUUAUCGUUCCCCUGGAAUAUGGCCUUGAGACAGCUCAUCCGUGUCCUUCACUGUGUUAUCUCUUCUAACUUUUAUUAAAACUUCAGCUUUCAUCUGAAGAUAGCUAAUUAAAUCUGGAACAGAUUAUAUGCCUCCCCUUAAAAAGAGCACAAAACUAUUUUCUUCAACCCCAGCAAUGCUUUUUUUCCUUUCCAAAAGGUAAAAUCAAAGGUGUUUAAGAAGUCUCUUUAUUUACAGAGCUAAGAUAUUCAACACGUCAUAUAUGAGUUGAUUUAUAUUAAAGUUGUCUGUGAUAUGACAAAUCUUUGAGCUAUUUCUCAAGAUGAUUAUUUCUCAAUCCUGGUAUAUAUCCUUUAAAUAUCACAGCUAAUACUAUAAGCAUAUUUUCUAUAUAAAGUUGGGUAAUGAGGAGUUAAGUUAUUAGUGCACAUCAAGUGAUUUGUCUUUUUAUUCGUCUUUUUUUUUUAAAGGUUGCCCUCAUUUGAUAAGGAUGAAGAGAAAUUUUUCUUUUCUUCCCCAUACCACAAAUAUUAGUAACUAAAAGUUCUCCCAUGGGAAAUUAUGUGAAAACAUGAAAUUAAUAGCAGUGAUUCAAGUUUAGGACUGAUUCGGUUUUCAAGACAGCUUUAUAUCAACUGAUCAUCAGCACAAGUAGCUCUGUCUGAGUCUACCACAAAUUAUUAAUGAAGGAACUUCCACAAUUGAUAUGAAUACAUUCUUCUCACAUAUGCCGCUGACCCAGUCCCUUUCUGAGGCCGAGGGGCAGUGUACAAUCACCUUUUCUUGCAUAGAUCAGCUAACCAAACCUUCUAGCAAUGACAUCUGAAAGAAUCUAGCCAGCCAUCACACACACACACCCCCUAUGCCCUUUUAAUAAGGGUUAAGCUUCUACUACUGUGAGAAUAUGAUUUAACUAUCCCACCUGAAACUUUCUGGGAUCCUUUUCUUCGCUUCACUGCCUUCAGUAAGAUUUCCUUCAUGGUAACCUUUGUGUUGUCCACCUGAAUAAGGGAGAAUCCAUGAGCAGCAUUUCUGUAGGAAAAGACAAAUAUUAAAUCAUCACCAACAUUCAUCCAGAGAGAUGUUACUGCAAUCUUCACUGUGUUUAAGCAAGUUUUUUUUGUUGUUGUUUGUUUUGUUUUGUUUUUGAAAUGGAGUCUCGCUCUGUCACCCAGGCUGGAGUGCAGUGGUGCAAUCUCGGCUCACUGCAAGAUCCGCCUCCUGGGUUCACACCAUUCUCCUGCCUCAGCCUCCCAAGUAGCUGGGACUACAGGCGCCCGCCACUACAUCCGGCUAAUUUUUUGUAUUUUUUUUUUUUUUUAGUAGAGACAGGGUUUCACCAUGUUAGCCAGGAUGGUCUCGAUCUAUUGACCUCGUGAUCUGCCCGCCUCGGCCUCCCAAAGUGCUGGGAUUACAGGCAUGAGCCACCGCGCCCGGCCGUGUUUAAGCAAGUUUUAAAAAUACAUAAAUCCAUUGUGGCACAAUGUAAUAUGUAUCACCAUGCUACACCUGCGGACGCUUCCGAGCGGCUGCCAUGUCUGUGCAGUCAGGAAUGAUAAGUGAACCACCCGUGAAUGUUAACGAUAGUGAUCAUUCUGAGAAAAAGUUUGCUGAGCUAGAAGCGGUGGCUGAAGCCUAUAAUCCCAGCACUUUGGGAAGCUGAGGUCAGCAGAUCACUUGAGUCCAGGAGUUUGAGACCAGCCUGGGCAACACAGCAACACUCUAUCUCUACAAAAAAUACAAAAAGUAUUUGGGCAUGGUGGUGCAUGCCUGUAGUCCCAGCUACUUGGGAGGCUGAGGUGGGACGAUUGCUCGAGCCUGGGAGGCAGAGGUUGCAGUGAGCCAAGAUGAUGUCACUGCACUCCAGCCUGGGUGACAGAGCAAUACCCUAUCUCAAAAAAAAAGUUUGCCAACCCUAGGAUAACGUGGCGAGAUUUGGGGGGUUAUGUGUUCCAGCAGCUAGAGUUAUUUAACAUAACUAACAAACUUAGUAAAAGUCAAAUGGCAUUACUGCAAGCUGCAUACAGAACUUGUUUGCUGAACAGAGAAAAAUGGUGACAGAAUUCAGUGGGCACAAAGAUCUCUAUGAACAGUCUUGCUGGUCUCUGAAAAAUCUGUGCUGUUUGGUGCCAAGUCACACUAUACACAAGUAUCAGUCAGGCAGAGCCCACUUAUGUAUAGACCAAGCAACAGAUAAAGUAGAGUGACCAAUCUGGUUUACCUAGGAUGGAGGAAGGGGUUGGAGGUGAGCAUCAGGGAGUGCUCAUAGAUUCAGGACUUUCAGUUUUGAAACAGGGAGAGUCCUGGACAAACCAUCACAAACUGAUCAUACUAACAGAAAGCGUGGUGGGCCAAACGUAAAGUAGAGUUUUCUAGGUUAGGAGCGGUGGCUCAUGCCUGUAAUCCUAACACUUUGGGAGGCCGAGGCAGGAGGACUGCUUGAGCUCAGGAGUUCAGGACCAGCCUGGGCAACACAGUGAGACCUUGUCUCUACUAAAAAUAGAGUUAGUUGGGCAUGGUGACACAUGCCUGUAGUUCCAGCUACUUGGGAGGCUGAGGCAGGAGGGUCCUUUGAGCCCAGGAGUUUGGGGCUGCAGUGAGCCAUGAUCACAUCACUGCACUCCAGACUAGGCCACACAGCAAGACACUUAUCAAAAAAAAAAAAAAAAAAAAAAAGCAUUUUCUAGUAAAGAACAUUUAAAAUUUAUGUGUUUGUGUGGGGGGACACAUUAUAAAUCAAUUGGCCCACUAAAAUAAUGGACGAGUAGUUAAAAAUACACUGUUUAAAAGGAUGUUAAUCGUGAUGUCUCAUAUGAAAAUCAAAAGACUCAAGUUGACAAGUAAAACAUUUAACACCCAAUUAAACCCAACAUCAGCAAUGUUUAAUUUCAGCAAAACAUCAUCUGUUACAUUAAAGUUGUUAAUUUGUAUUUUAUUAACGUUAUAAUUUUAUCUGUAUUUAGUUUGUAAUUUUGUUUAGGUUGUGUAAAAACACUGAAUUUAUAGCUAAACAUUACAGAACUUUGUAUUUGCAUGUAUCUAAGUAGCAUUAUUAAAAAACUCAUUUGGAUAAACAUUGAGACUUUAGGAGAAUUUAUUUCCCUUUAAAAGAGUUCUGUACAUAACUUACAUUUAAGAAACUCCCUCAUGACAAUUCCAUGAGAUAGUUACUGUUACCCAAAUUUUAAAGAUGAAGAAACUGAGACUUAACAAAGGUAAGUAAAAUUGUCUAAGGUCAUGCAUGUAGCAAGAUACUAUUGAAGCUGAAACAUGAACCCAGGUUUGCCUAAAUUCAAAGUCUGUGCUGCCGCACUUAGAGGGAAAGAUGGUACUGGAGCCCCGGGAAUAGCCGGUGUGAGGGCCUCUAAAGGUCAGAAGGCGACAUGGGCUUCCUGGUAUUUGAAAGGCAGGAACGGGUGUAAAAAAGGGGAAGAGGUCUUAGAAAGCAAGGUGGGACACACUGCUGGGUCAGGUGUCCUCCUGGCAGCCCACAGACACCUGAAGUUUCAGUCAUUCCUUCUCCAUGAAGCCCUGUGCUGGGUGCUCAGGAUACAGAGAGACAAUAAGACUGUGCCUUCCUAGUCUUCAAGAAGUUAAUGGUCUUGCUACUAACUCAGAGGAUGUGUGCUCAUAAGAGGACUCAUUUGAAAGUAUGUAGAUCCUCGAUGUUUACCCACUGCCCAUGUUCACUGAAAGUUAUUCCAAUUCAGCUUUUUCAGUCCAGCUGAGCAAUGUCCACCUAAACACUACCCCUCCUCUGCUAUAAAACAAAGUCGGAGAAGAAAAAUGUAGAAGUGGCAGAGAUCUACUCAGUAACCCAUUCAAGAAAUACGUGUGACAGAUCUAUCACAGUAAUGGAGUGAUGGUGAGUAUUGUGGGCACAGAUAAUUCAGUUCUUGCUCUCCAAGGGUUGUUUAUUAAUAGUAACAAUAACAGCAGCUAACACUAAGAUGAUGCGUACAUAUGCUAAACACUGUUCUAAGUGCUUCAGAUCUAUUAACUCAUUUAAUCCUCAUAACUGAUCUGUGAGGUAGGUAUUAUUAUCUCCAUUUCACUGAGCCACAGAAAAGUUAAAUAUUCAUCCAGGACCACACACACUAGUAAGGGCAAGGCUAGGAUCGGCAUCCAAGCGAUCUGGCUCACAGCCCACCAUGCUGUCACCUACUGCACUAUAGCAGUGGCUGAAUGUCAGCCUUAAGACAGUGAGAUUCACAGGUUAAACCAACACCAGAUUCCCCAGCCUCAAUCUUUCAGCAGAGGGUUGGAAAGGGCAUGGACUUUAAAGUCAGGGAUGGCGUCAAAUCCAGGCCUAAGAACAAUAUUGCUCACCCUCAGGUUCCACGCCUCUAAAUUGUUCAUAAAAACUGGGCUAUUUUGGGAUUAAGUGAGAUAGCAUAUGCAUAGUUGGCCCUUAGUAAGUAUUAGUUCACUCCCUAUGUCAAACCUACUUGCCUCUUUCUGUUUCAGCUUAGUGUCUUCCCAGCCACUUCUUGUCCCUCCUCUACUGGGAGACAAAUGGAAGGAGGAAAGGGGGGAAAUGACGAGGAGGAGUAGUUACGGCUUUAUUUAUUUUGCUGGGAUUUCCUUCUCUGAAACUUUAGACACAUCCCUACAGACUCCUGAAGGUCUGCUCUGUUCUGCAUCUGUAGGAGAAGCUUUACUAACUUAGAAUAUAGACCAGAAAGGCGAGUAAGAGGUUGCUGAACCAAGAAAAUACACACAGGGCAAACGGUCAGUAAUCUGUACUAUUUCAUCAGACGACUGAGAAAAAGAAAAUUUAUUGACACUUUUGUUCUUAAUGCUCACAUAUAAAGAUUUCACUUUACCUCGUGUUUUCAGAAACACUCCAGACACAUCAAAUAAACUCUCUUGAAUUUUAAAAUAGAAAAAGGAUUGACUGGGCUAUGUGUGUGUCUGGGAGUGGGAACACAGGGAUGGGAGUAAUUCAGGAUCAAAAAACAGAGUAUUAAGUUUAAAGCAGUUGUUACUCUCUGCCUUCCCCCUCCUUCCUAUUCUCCAGAAGGCAGGGUUCAUAGUGAAACACUGUGUAGUCUUAGAUGCCCCUCCUGGAAAGGCAUAUGAAUCCUAGCCCCACUCCACUCUACUGAAAACUCAGUGAUUUAAAGCCUCUUGCUUUAAAAAAGGACUUCUGGUUCAAAAGACUGCUAUGAUCAUGUGUUAACAUUCAUGUAGAAAAAGUUCUAGUCAUAUUAAUAAUCAAUAAAAAUGCAAGUAAAAACUAUCGAAAUGCCACUGUGUAUAUCUUUUAGAGUAGAAAAAAAAACUUCUAAUACCUUGUAAUGGUAAAACUAUAAAAAUGAUUUUAGGAAUUCUGUUGGUAACAUUGUAAAUUAGGACAUCUUUCAGAGGGCUAUUGUCAAUAAAAAGUGAGUCUAAAGAUGUUUUUACUCUGACCAAUAAUCCUACUUACAAGGCAUGAUCCUAAGGAAGUUGUUCAACAGAAUAAAAGGUAUAUAGAUAAUGACCAUCAUCAUCAAAUUACUUAUUAAAACCACACAAGGAAGCAAUCUAAAUAUUCUGUGAUCGGCUUCCACUACAACCCAUACACUUUUCUUUUAUACUGCUUAUCACAUUUUAAUUAUUUGACAACUGUCUCACUACUAGAUAGUAAGCUCCAUGAGGGUAGUGCUGUCUCUGCCUAGAUCUCUGGCACAUAAAUACAGACUGUAGGAAUUAAGAACAAAUACUGAAACGUUUAUAAUUUAUUAUUUUUAGAUGGAGUCUCACUUUGUCGCCCAGGCUGGAGUGCAAUGGCGCGAUCUCAGCUAACUGCUACCUCCGCCUCCCGGGUUCCAGCGAUUCUCCUGCCUCAGACUCCCGAGUAGCUGGGAUUACAGGUGCCCACCACUGCAUCCGGUUAAUUUUUGUAUUUUUAGUAGAGACGGGGUUUCACCAUGUUGGCCAAGCUGGUUUCGAACUCUUGACCCUCCUCGGCCUCCCAAAUCCUGGCCUGCCUCGGUCUCCCAAAGUGCUGGGAUUACAGGCGUGAGCCACUGCGCCUGACCUAAUUUAAUGUCAAGUAAAAAUAACACAAAAAUAUGUGUGCUACAAGUGAAACUGAGUAACAUAUACACACGAUUAUUAUACAAGAUUAAAAAUAGUUAAGAUGGAGGCAUCAUUGGCCAACUUUUCAAUUAUUUUAAAUAUCCUUUAAAGUUAUUUUAGUACCUCUGAAAUGAAAAAGCAGGAAAAAAUUUGCUGUUAUUUACACCAAACUUGACCUUGUAGUAGGGAUGAAACGGCCACCAUGAAAGCCUGAGGGCCCACUCCCCAGCUUACCCCCAGGUACUCAGUUAUUCUUUCUUUGCUCAAGGGUAGAAAGAGCCAAAAUACUCAUAUAUCAUAUGUAGCAUAACCCUAUUUUCUGUAACAAUCUCAAACAAAGGCAGUAUGUUGAGAGAGACAGGGAAAUGUCUUCUAAAGCAAUCCCUUUUGAGCAGUGAAUUUGCUGGUUACUAACAGCAGGGGGUGCCAAAGGGAUCGCUAUUGUUCCCAGGAGACAGCCAUGAGAAGGACUGCUGAGGCCUAGGUUGAAAAAAAGCUUAGGUUUGAGAGUAAAAUCCAAAUGCAGCAGGUUUUCCCUUAACAACUGGGACAUGUGGAUAAAACUCAGGAGCUCAUAAACUUGAAUGGAUAAAAACUACAUUUUAAUUUUCACUAACUUCUAAUAUUUUGCAUUUCCUUGAUUUAUAAGUGUAGGCAAACAAUCACAGCAGAAUCACAGUGCCAGUGACUCUGUCAUGAACAGAAGUCAUAGCUAACACUACAGCACAUUACAGCUGUUGCAGAUUUCUCAAAUACCAUUUAUGCUCAUCACCGCUUUGAAACAACAGGCUUCAGGAGUUACUGUUAGGUAUACAGCUGGAUAUUGUUUAAUCUACUAGUAAAGCCACACAUAUUACUAUAUCAUGAAUUUGUUCAAUAAUCUGAUAACUUUAAAUAACAGAAUACUUUUAUAUUCCAG